UGUGGCCGCUGUUAGAUUGUUGCGGUUCCAAACCGAAAGAUAUGUUCUUUUGGGCGGGUUCUGUGGUCAUGUUUGGCUAAUGUGGCUUUUCUAGUUUAUAGAGCACAGUUAGUUGGCCCUUGGGGCUCAGCCAUUUGGGAAGAGCACUUCUGACGCGCCCUGGCCAAAAAGGGUACAAACAUUAAAUGUACAACGAACUCAUUAGUAACUACUACUGUUUUACAUGAUAUUACCCUUUUUGAUGGAGCACAUAAGACACUUGGUUUACCACACUCGUUCCAAAAAGAUACUCGGAAGAAUAUGUAAAUAUUUGGCAGACAAGCAUCCAGCAUCCACUUGUUUAUACUUGCUCAGAUAAAUAUUUGCCGGCAAUCAAGAAGUUGAGGCGCACUGUGAUCUAAUAUAAUCAAGCCUUAUGUGCAAACUCAACUCACCGCGCUUGUGCGGGUGUAACAAACGGUCGUGUCCGAGUCAUGCAGUCAUAAAACACCAAAAACUCAAUAAGGCAAGUCGAGUUUAAUACGAAAACCGCCCCCCUCUGGUGCUCGGUCACAUAAAAACUACCCACCAUCGAUCGACAAAUAAACCUGUAGUCCGAUCCAUAGCGAUCCAACAGACAGACAGCUGGUGGUGAUGAUCUCAAUGCCCGACGUCUGAUUUGUGGAAUCAUCGCAGCAACUAAGAUGAUCUUAAACGCCCGACUUCUCUCUUCACGGGUUCAAUGCUUCCUUAGGCGGUAUGCACAUAUACAUAAAUCUAAGCCACAAUUGAUAGCCAUCUCCUUCGGCCAUCCAGAGCUACUGUGCAGCGAGUGCACCGUAAGAAAUUGGACUAGAUUUCAGCAUGAUCUUAUCAAUUAUGGUUUACAACUUAAUGAUUUAACAUAGAAAGAAAACCAAAAUACUUACUAUGUUAGAACUACUAUAUUAUGUAUAUAUUAGAACUACUAUAGUUGGAUCUACCAUUAAUUUCCUUCUGUGUACUGGACACUACACAUGGUGCAUCUAGAUCAAAUCCGGUGGACAAUGGCCUUCCACUGGAUGCCACAACGAGAAGUCAAGCCUGGCUGGCUGCUUUUGUGUUUUUUGUCGAGUGUGCAACUUGGAGCGCAUGUACGUUGCAUUGACAAUGAAGUUAUUAAAGCGCAAAACCGCAGCCAACCACCUGAGGCUAUUUUUCUUUUUUAGCAACGGAAACAUGUGAUUAGCUUGCACUAGGCACUAGGAGAAAUAAAAAACCUACUUCGCUUGCCAUAGACAUAAACGUCUUACCAAUCCACUCCAUAAAUCCACCUGAUACUAAGCCAACUUUUUAUUAGCGAAAGUGGAAAUUCACUUGGAAUCCCCAUCAACACAAUUCAGCUCCGAAAUUAAAGGGCAGCAUGAUUGAUGGCCUUAAUUGGCUAGUUGUUUCGACUUCAGUUGCCCAAUUUGUAGCAAGUAGCUUUAUAGAGUUAGUUAACGUGCAGAUUGCCAACAUUUCCCAAUUAGAUAAACCUCAAAGUCAGACAAAAAAUUGGCGAGAACACUUUUGGGCCCAUGAAGAUGGGUUUUCGUGCCAGCAACACUUGUGUGUGUUUAGCCACCAAUAUGUGUGUGUUUAGCCACAGGUGUUCAAUGUUCUACUGGCAUAAGAGCCGCCAGUCACGUAAAGAAAUUUCAGCGUCUGGAGUUCGCCGGAUGACAUUACUUAUAGGAGUUAAUUGCCAAUUCUGGUUUAACAUCAACUUUGAACAAUUUGUUAGCUAAAUAAAGUGUUUGAUUUAAGCUCUUGAAAUGCUAGAUUUCUCAGUAAGCAAGCUUUGUUUGGGUACUUUAAUUGGAAUACGUUUUAAUUAAAGAUCUGAGAUAUAAACACAUGCAUCAAAACUAUUAUUUCACGGCUUGAACAUUAUUAAAUACUUGAUAAUUAAUUAUUGUAAAAUACCCCAUAAAUGAAAAGUUAAGUUGUUUCUUCAGAUGACGACAUUAACAAACAAUUUCAAAGUUAUCCAUUAGCGCUUCACCAACUUCUAAAGUUACCAUAUAAACAGUUUCCUCUUUUCUUUAUUACUUCAUCUAAACUUUGGAAGCACUUCUGGCACCCCUUUCACCCAUUUGAAUUUUGAAUUUCCAAGCACUCAGGGUACAACAAACUUUGGGGUCAACUGGCUGUGGCGAUGACUCUGUGAAAUGCUUGCUCAGCUGAAAUGAAAAAUUUCAGGCAGACGCCGCGUCGUCGUAGGCAGUUUUUUAUCUGAGGUUUAUGGUCUUCACAGACUUGGUCAGUUGGAAAUGGGCCUCUGCGUCCCAGUUUGAGACCCUGCCCCAAUGAUCUCUGACGCUCACGCUGAACAAAGUUUUUUUUUAUAGUUACGGCUGCGUUUUGUGUGGGUUUAUUUGCUUUAGUAAUUAUUAUAAAUAGUUGGGAAUUAAAGCCAUCCAGCAAAAUGAAAGCUGAGAGAUGGCGCCCGCAGUGAAACGACUGGCAAGUGGCCAAACGAGACCAAUUUCCAAAGCAAUUUAGUUUAAUUGAAUGCAAUAAUCAUAAAAAGUAAGGAGAGCGCCAAGCCAAGAUAGUAAAUUUGUAAUUGAGAAGUAAUUGCUUGUCGCACAGAAAGGUAAUUUUAUUUAAUCCACAAUGUUGAUAGGCGUCCAUACUGCCACUUUAAGUGGAAGCUGCAACGUUAAGUGAUGGUGCAAAAUGCUUUUUAGCCACUUUUGGUUUUUUUUUCUUUCUUUUGGUUUUGUGCUGGGCCAUUUGCAAUGAAGAAGCACGGCUAACACCGCGACAUUGAACGUGACUCAGGGGUAAAAAGCAUCUCAGAAAUGACACGCAAAUCGGAGCGAAAAAAGUUGAGUUGGCAAAUUAAAUAAACAAUGCGAAAUGAGAAGAAGCGGCCAACAGAACAAUGCGAAAUCAUAUAAAUUAUUAUAAUAUCUCCUGCCAGUUGCUUAUUGCCUCCAAGCUCGUUUCAGACAAAAGAUACCCGACUGACGCAUCAUCGCUUGCCUCUAAUUAAUGGAAAUAGAUACAGCUAAAGAUAGAGCUACAGAUGUAGAUACAUUGAGCAAUGGCAACUCUCAGUCUUGGUCAAAUUGCCGCGCCUCAUUGGAAACCUUCGCUCUUCGUCUUGGCUUCACUCGGAAAUCGAAUCGAAACGAAUCGAAUACAAUUCAUGUAUCAGUGUACACAUACCCAUUUGAUGCGUAACACGCGCCAGCAUUUAACUCUCUAUAAUACGAAGUACAGCGAUAUCGUGCUAAGGUUAAAUUUAGUGGAUAGCUGCAAAUGAAUUCGAUCGGAAAGCAUGCCAGAGCAAGGCUGCUAAUGAGCCAAGUCCACUGGAAAUACGAUUGCCGUAAUCGUCAGGUUGCAAUGCCAGAUUCUUUAGAGUUUCAAGGGAAGAAUCGAGCUCUAUACACAGAUCAGCGGAGCUUUAUAAGAGCUCUAUAAGCAAAAAGUCUUUUAAUGACAUCAUUUUCAGUUGUUAAGCAGUGGGUACCCAAAACUAGAAGCUGCUUGUUGCGAAUCUCCAGGAACCUAAGCCAAUAUUAUUGUUAACUAUUUAACGUGUUCAGCUAUUGGCUUGAGGUACUUGAAACUACACUCUGAUUGCAGAGCUUCACUUCUUAAACUUGAUAAAAUUCUCUAAUGAUGUUGUUCUCGCUGUUGAGGGAUCUUACACAUACCCUACACAUUUUCUGACCUUUUAAUUCGAUUUAUCUAGUUCCUUACUCCAGCAGCCUAACAUUCUCUGCCGCCAUAGGGUCUUAACCAGUUAAUAAAUUACAUUUUGUGCGUUCCGAGACACGUGUGAGCGAUAAAGCUCAUCAUUCGAUAGGCCCUGGCUUUCCCACAAAAUCCCCGUAGAGAAAGCAUUACCUCGGUAACAUGAAGAUGGACACGGGAUAUGAUUAUGGUGAUGGCUGUAUCUGCCUGCGAGUCCAUGUCUGCGGCUUAGUGGAUGCAAUCUCUCCAAAAACUCUUGAGCGGACAACAAGUGCCGCUCAUUAGGCGUACCGCAAACAAGGCGAACCGGUUAAUUUAAAUAGCCGGAGACGAAGACGAGGCCGAAACUGAAGCUAAGCAGACGCAAUGAUUGAUUUACCAGGCACAGUUAGUAAGCUAUACGAACUGAAGUUUACAAGAGGCGAUUUCCACUGACAAACCCGGUGGAUAGGUGGAUCUAAACCACAGUUUCAAUGACGCUGACAGGCAACAAUUUUUAUGUGCGCUUCAAGUGCAUCCGGACAUUCAUUCAUUUAUCUUUAUGGGCUCGAUGAAAAGAAGCCACAACGACUUGAAAAGAAAAACAAAAUCGCCUCAAUGGCCAAAUACCCGUUUUGGUAAUUAAUGAAAACUCAUCAGCCGCAAAAUGCGCAGCCAAGUAAAUGGAGCGGCUUGAAUUGCUGUUGGAUUAGCUAAAAGCUAAAAAUAAUCGACGGCCCCACAUCAAAUUAAGCCCAAUAAGGUAAUGCAUUAUUUGCGAUAUUGUGGAUUCGACUUGUAUGCUUGCUUUUCACUUAAGAAAAGCCUACGCUUUAUUCGAGUUUUAAAGAGGCUGGGAAUUUCUCAUUGUUUAAAAUUCAUUUCCUCUCUGGCUUAUUGUUUUAUUUUAUUUCUAGUCGAUCGUAUUUAAGUAUAACAAUUGCUUAAGCUGUGUGCUUUGAACCUCGUUAGAUCUGAAGAAAGCGGCUUGCUAACCAACUUGAAGUCCCUUGUUAACUAAUAGAAACAAAUUUAUCUGUGCUUGAUUGUUAAGACUAGAUCUUAAUAAAAAAUCGACUCCAUUAUUUCAUCCGUUCCAUUUUCACUGCUCCACUCAAUUUCAUGUGCCAUGGGCGCAGUUUGUUUAAUUAACCAGCCUGCAAUUUUCACAAUACCUUGUGGCGCUUUUUAUUCCGCCAGUUUGCGUUGUUGCUGCUGUCGAGUGUGACUUUUCAAGCGUGUGACCGGAGGUGAAAUUUUUAUUUCUGAUUUUUGGCAUUAGACCCGCGAACCACUGACGCAAAAUGCUUAAAAAGUGCCGGCCAGGCUGGCUGACUCUUUUGCUGGCCAGCCUGCGAUGGCGAUAAAUGUGCGCAGAUACGUUACAGACCGCGUCGCGUCGUCUGGCCGCUUUAAAUGGACAACUGGGAGUGGGUCACAGCUGCAGCUGUGGAUCUGUAGUGGAGCCUGCGGCUCGCUGAGGCAAACGAAGCGAUUAUAGGGACCCAGACUUGGGACUAAGCCUUCCCCGAAACCAGUUCCUCUUCCCAGACAGACUUCGUUGCGAUUCUUUCUUUCGAAGCGUAAAUAUUUCAAUUUAUUUAUUGGUCAUGCGUCUGUAGCAUCGUAUCGUUUUUCGAACACUUUCUUUACAUUCGUUACACGAAUUUUAGGAAGAUAUAGCUACAUGUGUAGUGUUGCGACCAGAAACCUCCAGUAUGUUGGCCUCGCUCUUGGACUUGGACUCACCAGCACGCAAAGCCGUGCCAAAAUGUGUGUCAAUGGCCUUUGGGGCCCUUCUUUUCAUUUUUAUUUGGGGCGGAGAUACGAAGUCUGGGGCGUGCCCCAAGCGAAUUUUCACUAAAAUGAAAAUUAAGAGUGAAAACGAUUUGAGUUACUGUACUUCUCUCCCAACCCUCCGUUUUUAUUUUUACUUUUUUGCAGCAAACAAAGCAAAAGAGGUGUGGACGACGAUUUCAACUGCAGGCCAUGCAUGACCCCGCGUAUUAGUGUCCCAUCCCCUGGCCGUCUGAUUGCCAUGCUAAAUGGGUGAAGUGAAACUACGACUGCGAUUUCGGACUGUCGAGAGCAUUGACCAGCUCCCCAAAAGAGCAUUGCCUGUUUUCAGCUUUUUCUUCUCCUACUGUCAACUGUCAAACGAAAUUUACACGUUUUUCUUUCCAGCUGCACCUCACGAAAUAGUCGAGACUUGAACAAAGAAAUGGGGAGUGCGUGAGCCUCUUUUAGCUGAUUGAUUGUUUGGCAAAGUUUGCAUGUUAAUUGCCUUUAUGGUGGCGAUAGACGACAAAGCCCACUUAAAAGUCUAAAACCCCAUUACUGAGUUCAUUGGAAUUUUCCUUUUUAUCAGUCGUGUCGGCGGCUCAUUUUCUACAAAAUAACAUUACUAGCUUUUGACUCUCACCCUGGCAAAGGCAAUGGAACUAAAGCAAAUAUAAUAGCAAGGAUUUAAAACAAAGUGGUGCAUGAGAUAAUAAUACAAUGUUGACUAUUGCCAAGCAAUCAAAUCCUCUGGAAGCGAAACGGAAAUGGUCGAGGCUGCCCCAACAAUUCAAUUAAGCUGGCUCCUCCUGCACAUCUGAACGAUCGAACCCCGGUGGAGUCGACUCGGUUCCUACCUGCUAGUCCGGCUGGCUGAUGCGGAUUGAAAACAAAACAAACAGAGCUUAGACAACUCACAACAAUGCGGUCGUUGGACGCGCAGGCGCGCAGCGGGGGCGCUUAAUAUGCAGCCAGCGUAGCUGGCAAGUCGGAGAUGUAUACCCAUAUACCCAUACCAUAUAGCCAGCAGCAGCUGGCGUCUUUCGUUCUUGCUGUCGCUCAACUGAUCAACUGGUUUAACAAUAAAAACAAAAGCUUAGGCGGCGUUGGCGUUGCUUUAGCGUUCAACAGAAACGAAAAAGUUACCGUCUUUUUUUGUUGCUUCUCUCAUAUGCUGCCAUCGAUUGUCGGGGCUUGGCUUUCUUUGAGGAAAAAAAAAUACAAACUCACUUAGAAACUAUAAAAAAUGGUAAUUUGUACGCUUUGCCUUUUUCUUCGCUUCUUGCUCAAUCGUAUGUCUCACACGCGCUUCUAAUGUCUGGAUACGAUACACAAGCUCGUUCAAGAUGAUGGCAUAUAAAAAGCUACACGAGUUUUUCAAUUGACUUGGAAAGUGGCAAGCGACUGCCAGCAUGCAUCAAACGGGGCGAGCCCCAGCAAAAAGUGGGCGUGAUAGGCAACAACAAUGGCUCACUGUUUUUGGCUUUCGGCUUUGCCACACUUUUGAUGAAUUAGCCGUUUUUUCCAUCGAGUGUCGGGGUUUUGAAAAUUGAGUUGCAGCUGCAGCAUUUGAUGGAAAUGGGUGGCAGAGAGCGGAGGAAGUUCGCUGAGCCGGAUCAUACCCAGCUGAGACUCAUUAAAACACCACUUGAACCCCGCUUCGUGUUAUACCGCCUCUAAGUACAGGUCAAUAAGUGGAGUUGUUGUCUGAUUUUCGAGUCCAAGCCAAUUGAUGCCUGCUAUGCAAUUGGUGGGAAGAGGAAGGAAGAGUUUGAUUGAUGAAAACUAUCAGCUAGGGUAAUGGAUUUAAUUAUAAAAAAAAAAAGUACUUCCCAUACCGGGAAUCGAACCCGGGCCUUCUGGGUGAAAGCCAGAUAUCCUAGCCACUAGACCAUAUGGGAUAUGUUCUACUUUCUUCCAACUUAUAUAAUGGUUUUGGUCUUUCUCUUUGUUAAAUAAUGGUGCACAUACUUAUAAGGAAUUUUAUUUCCUGUGAAAUUUGAAUUUAAUAUAAGAAUCUUUGCGUUCGGAACUGUUUAACGUAUCCUAAGAGGUAGACUAACUACACAUUUUUGCCGCUGUUUACACAAGUCCCAUAUUGUCUAGUGGUUAGGAUAUCCGGCUCUCACCCGGAAGGCCCGGGUUCGAUUCCCGGUAUGGGAAACUUUUUUGCCUAAUUUUGUUUUGUUUUAUUUAACACGAGAGAGUUGUUAAAGGGGUUGGUAUAAUUAUUAGUUUGCUGACUAUUAAAUAAAAUGUUUCACUUUAUUUUUCUAUUUGGUUUCAUUUUAUUAUAUUGUUACUCGUUUGGUCUGUGCCGAGCGAAAAAAUUGCACAAAAUACAAGCAAAGCAAGCACUCAAAUCAUACAAAACGAGUUAUAGCUACGUUGAAGUCAGCCUCCCAUAUGGUCUAGUGGCUAGGAUAUCUGGCUUUCACCCAGAAGGCCCGGGUUCGAUUCCCGGUAUGGGAA